GGUUAAGCGACUAAGCGUACACGGUGGAUGCCCUGGCAGUCAGAGGCGAUGAAGGACGUGCUAAUCUGCGAUAAGCGUCGGUAAGGUGAUAUGAACCGUUAUAACCGGCGAUUUCCGAAUGGGGAAACCCAGUGUGUUUCGACACACUAUCAUUAACUGAAUCCAUAGGUUAAUGAGGCGAACCGGGGGAACUGAAACAUCUAAGUACCCCGAGGAAAAGAAAUCAACCGAGAUUCCCCCAGUAGCGGCGAGCGAACGGGGAGCAGCCCAGAGCCUGAAUCAGUAUGUGUGUUAGUGGAAGCGUCUGGAAAGGCGCGCGAUACAGGGUGACAGCCCCGUACACAAAAAUGCACAUAUUGUGAGCUCGAUGAGUAGGGCGGGACACGUGGUAUCCUGUCUGAAUAUGGGGGGACCAUCCUCCAAGGCUAAAUACUCCUGACUGACCGAUAGUGAACCAGUACCGUGAGGGAAAGGCGAAAAGAACCCCGGCGAGGGGAGUGAAAAAGAACCUGAAACCGUGUACGUACAAGCAGUGGGAGCACGCUUAGGCGUGUGACUGCGUACCUUUUGUAUAAUGGGUCAGCGACUUAUAUUCUGUAGCAAGGUUAACCGAAUAGGGGAGCCGAAGGGAAACCGAGUCUUAACUGGGCGUUAAGUUGCAGGGUAUAGACCCGAAACCCGGUGAUCUAGCCAUGGGCAGGUUGAAGGUUGGGUAACACUAACUGGAGGACCGAACCGACUAAUGUUGAAAAAUUAGCGGAUGACUUGUGGCUGGGGGUGAAAGGCCAAUCAAACCGGGAGAUAGCUGGUUCUCCCCGAAAGCUAUUUAGGUAGCGCCUCGUGAAUUCAUCUCCGGGGGUAGAGCACUGUUUCGGCAAGGGGGUCAUCCCGACUUACCAACCCGAUGCAAACUGCGAAUACCGGAGAAUGUUAUCACGGGAGACACACGGCGGGUGCUAACGUCCGUCGUGAAGAGGGAAACAACCCAGACCGCCAGCUAAGGUCCCAAAGUCAUGGUUAAGUGGGAAACGAUGUGGGAAGGCCCAGACAGCCAGGAUGUUGGCUUAGAAGCAGCCAUCAUUUAAAGAAAGCGUAAUAGCUCACUGGUCGAGUCGGCCUGCGCGGAAGAUGUAACGGGGCUAAACCAUGCACCGAAGCUGCGGCAGCGACACUAUGUGUUGUUGGGUAGGGGAGCGUUCUGUAAGCCUGUGAAGGUGUGCUGUGAGGCAUGCUGGAGGUAUCAGAAGUGCGAAUGCUGACAUAAGUAACGAUAAAGCGGGUGAAAAGCCCGCUCGCCGGAAGACCAAGGGUUCCUGUCCAACGUUAAUCGGGGCAGGGUGAGUCGACCCCUAAGGCGAGGCCGAAAGGCGUAGUCGAUGGGAAACAGGUUAAUAUUCCUGUACUUGGUGUUACUGCGAAGGGGGGACGGAGAAGGCUAUGUUGGCCGGGCGACGGUUGUCCCGGUUUAAGCGUGUAGGCUGGUUUUCCAGGCAAAUCCGGAAAAUCAAGGCUGAGGCGUGAUGACGAGGCACUACGGUGCUGAAGCAACAAAUGCCCUGCUUCCAGGAAAAGCCUCUAAGCAUCAGGUAACAUCAAAUCGUACCCCAAACCGACACAGGUGGUCAGGUAGAGAAUACCAAGGCGCUUGAGAGAACUCGGGUGAAGGAACUAGGCAAAAUGGUGCCGUAACUUCGGGAGAAGGCACGCUGAUAUGUAGGUGAAGUCCCUCGCGGAUGGAGCUGAAAUCAGUCGAAGAUACCAGCUGGCUGCAACUGUUUAUUAAAAACACAGCACUGUGCAAACACGAAAGUGGACGUAUACGGUGUGACGCCUGCCCGGUGCCGGAAGGUUAAUUGAUGGGGUUAGCCGCAAGGCGAAGCUCUUGAUCGAAGCCCCGGUAAACGGCGGCCGUAACUAUAACGGUCCUAAGGUAGCGAAAUUCCUUGUCGGGUAAGUUCCGACCUGCACGAAUGGCGUAAUGAUGGCCAGGCUGUCUCCACCCGAGACUCAGUGAAAUUGAACUCGCUGUGAAGAUGCAGUGUACCCGCGGCAAGACGGAAAGACCCCGUGAACCUUUACUAUAGCUUGACACUGAACAUUGAGCCUUGAUGUGUAGGAUAGGUGGGAGGCUUUGAAGUGUGGACGCCAGUCUGCAUGGAGCCGACCUUGAAAUACCACCCUUUAAUGUUUGAUGUUCUAACGUUGACCCGUAAUCCGGGUUGCGGACAGUGUCUGGUGGGUAGUUUGACUGGGGCGGUCUCCUCCUAAAGAGUAACGGAGGAGCACGAAGGUUGGCUAAUCCUGGUCGGACAUCAGGAGGUUAGUGCAAUGGCAUAAGCCAGCUUGACUGCGAGCGUGACGGCGCGAGCAGGUGCGAAAGCAGGUCAUAGUGAUCCGGUGGUUCUGAAUGGAAGGGCCAUCGCUCAACGGAUAAAAGGUACUCCGGGGAUAACAGGCUGAUACCGCCCAAGAGUUCAUAUCGACGGCGGUGUUUGGCACCUCGAUGUCGGCUCAUCACAUCCUGGGGCUGAAGUAGGUCCCAAGGGUAUGGCUGUUCGCCAUUUAAAGUGGUACGCGAGCUGGGUUUAGAACGUCGUGAGACAGUUCGGUCCCUAUCUGCCGUGGGCGCUGGAGAACUGAGGGGGGCUGCUCCUAGUACGAGAGGACCGGAGUGGACGCAUCACUGGUGUUCGGGUUGUCAUGCCGAUGGCACUGCCCGGUAGCUAAAUGCGGAAGAGAUAAGUGCUGAAAGCAUCUAAGCACGAAACUUGCCCCGAGAUGAGUUCUCCCUGACUCCUUGAGAGUCCUGAAGGAACGUUGAAGACGACGACGUUGAUAGGCCGGGUGUGUAAGCGCAGCGAUGCGUUGAGCUAACCGGUACUAAUGAACCGUGAGGCUUAACCUU
rnacentral:rRNA from 1 species